AGUUAAAUUGUUUAAAUUAAAAUUUUAGUUUGAAGGUUUAAUUUUGUGUCAUUAUGUGUAAUUGUGUUAUGUAUUUAUUCUACUAUGUUAACACAUUGUUAAAGAAAUUUCUCAAGCAUAAAUUCUAUUGAAAAUGCUUUUCUUUAUGCAUAAAAUUUUAGCAUUUCUGGGUCUUAAUUUUAUGAUGGAUGGUGUAGUGUCUAAGUGUUUUUUUAUUUAUUUAUUUUAUUUAAUUCUCUUUGCCCUGUAGACCACAGUGAAGUGGCUGGAUGGUAAGGGAUGGGACCCGACAUAUCUGGACGGACCACCCCUGAAAAAUUCAUGGGGUUUUUUGACCCAUUUGGGUUCUACCCCAGGUCACCCAGAUCAGUAGGCUGCUGCCUUAGCUUGGCUAUCCAGCCAUCACCCAAAUGCACUUCAGUAUCUAAGGAAGUUUCUGUUUCAACAAAAGUAGUUUGAAUUGGAUCCAUAUCCUGGUUUCUUCAUUUUGAUUUUGAAUUCUUUUUCAGUGGCCUCAAGAAACUAAUGCAGAAUCACUGUUUGCCUUAACACAAUUUGGAGAUCAUCUUGAUAAGUUUCGUGGAGCUUUGGUGCAACUCUUUGCAAAGACUGCAAAAAUUCGAAUAACGACGCUACAAAAGAAGUUAUUGGAUGAAGUCGGAGAAACAUUGUCGAAUGCCGACUUUAAACAGAUAAUCCAGGAAUAUUGUGUCUGUAAAUCUGGAUAUUAUUAUUUAAAGGGAACGAUGCAAACGGAUUCCUAGCCUCGGCAAUUUUUUUUUCUUUAUAAUUUGUACAUAAAAUAUAAAUAGUGGAUUAUAAUUAUGAACUGUUAGAAAUCUGUUGCUAUGGAAACAAAAUAUUUUUGUUGACGAAACAUUGUCUAAGUAAAAUAUAAUUAAUUUCCUUAAAUUCCUACAAAUAUGAAAUGAACACUGACUGCAUUUUUAUCAGAGUUUUCAUUUUACUUAAAAAGGAAAUUAUCAUCUGAUUUUUAUUCAAGUUUAAGGAAAAGUUUUGACGACCGAAAAACCGAUCAAAUCUGCUAAAAAUUUUCCGAAUUUUAUGAAAAUGAAGCAGUAAGUAAGGCAUUUUUUAUGGGAAUUUUUAUAUGAAUUUGAUUUUUGAACUUGUAUCAAGUUCAUGUUACAGAAGUUGUAUCAAA